rnacentral:lncRNA from 1 species
AAGUCUCAUAAAUUUUUGGGUUAUCACACCCAGAGCCGCGACGCUCUAAGGUAUUUUAACAACAAAUUUUCAGCAAGUUAAGAGCACAAUUUGCCCAUUCUCCCCACAUACUCGGCCACAAACUCUCCCACUUGCCCACAAACACCCACAAACUCAACUUUCUUCAAAUAUUUAAAUACCAACUUGGGAGGAACUUCAAUUGAACUUAAGUUCAACAACACAAGCCUUAUUAAACAUCUACGAGAGGAUUUCAAGGAGGAAUCGAGUGCUAUAUAUAUUGAGGGAAAGAUUAGAUUUAAUUUCAUUAACUUGUCAUCUUCUUCCAAUACAAGAGGUAAUUAGUACAUGCAAUCAUUUUUUUUUUCUUUGUGACUGAAUUACACUAGUUGGGAUCAUUUUUAGCGUUGGAUACAACCAUUACAGGAGAUUAAAGUCAUAAAAAUUUUGAUUUGGGGA